GCAAUAUUGCUGGAAACCAGAUUGGGUUGCGGAUGUCAUCUGCCCCCCCACCGCGGGAUCAUAUCCUUUGGUCUUUGUUCAACUUUGUCCACUGUAAUCCGUUUUGUCUGGCAUUAGUGGCCGUUUACUACUCUGUCAGGGCCAGAGACCGGAAGGUGCUGGGCGACCUGGAAGCCGCCCGGGAGUAUGGAUCUAAGGCUCGCUGCUUUAAUGCCAUCGCUCUUGGUAUCUCUGUGGCUUCAUUGAUCAUCACUCUUAUAUUUGUGGGCAUAGCCAUAAAUUCAGGACCACGUCAUUAGAAUCGUGAUGGGUAGAAGGAGAGAGCGUUUUCCUCCUAUCCCUUAUGACCUCGGAGCAAAGAUAUGCUGUGCUGGCUACGGAACGAAAUCAGUAAAAAUGCAUCGGAAAUUUGAGAGGGAUCCAUGUGACCACGUCAGAAUCAUGGACUGAUUGGCUUCCACCUGAGGGGACACGUUUAUAAUUAAGGCACCCUUGUAAACCGGGGUCUGAAGAUUUCUGAUGACCAUAUUCUAUUGUAAACAGAAUACUUAGUCUAAUAUGUACCUGCCUUUAACUCAUAUAGCUUAUUUUUUGUCAGUUUGACAUCCUUGUAUUCAAUUUUGUAUCACAUUUGCUUGUUUAAUGAUAUAGCAUGAAAUGUUUAUAUAGAAGCAAAUACAUUUAAGUUUUGGUACAAAGCUUCUUUUACCGUGAUUUAAUUAAAUACAUCUGAAUAAACAGCAGAGUAUUUAUACAAA